rnacentral:rRNA from 1 species
CACUCCUGCGGGAGGCAGCAGUGGGGAAUUUUGGACAAUGGGCGAAAGCCUGAUCCAGCAAUGCCGCGUGAGUGAAGAAGGCCUUCGGGUUGUAAAGCUCUUUUGUCAGGGAAGAAACGGUGAGAGCUAAUAUCUCUUGCUAAUGACGGUACCUGAAGAAUAAGCACCGGCUAACUACGUGCCAGCAGCCGCGGUAAUACGUAGGGUGCAAGCGUUAAUCGGAAUUACUGGGCGUAAAGCGUGCGCAGGCGGUUUUGUAAGUCUGAUGUGAAAUCCCCGGGCUCAACCUGGGAAUUGCAUUGGAGACUGCAAGGCUAGAAUCUGGCAGAGGGGGGUAGGAUUCCACGUGUAGCAGUGAAAUGCGUAGAUAUGUGGAGGAACACCGAUGGCGAAGGCAGCCCCCUGGGUCAAGAUUGACGCUCAUGCACGAAAGCGGGGGGAGCAAACAGGAUUAGAAACCCGAGUAGUCCC